GACUUGGUGGUUCAUUGGUAGAAAUCUUGCUUUCCAUGCAAGAGACCUGGGUUUAAUUCCCAGCCAAUGCA
rnacentral:tRNA from 1 species